rnacentral:lncRNA from 1 species
CAACGAGUCCUGAUGUUCGUCCGCCUGCUGUGUAAUAAUCAUACCAGCUGACAUCGUUCUGGGCGUAAGCCAGCAGUGGCAGAAGACACGUCUAGAAAGCAUGUUGUCAAAUGUAAACAUCCUGUAUCAACUCUGAAAUACAAAAACAUUUCUCUACAGAGCAACUUGUAUGAAGAAUACUGCUGAUAUCGAAACGUUGAUUUCAAGACGCGGCGUCAUGGUUUACGGUUGAAUUGAUGGACCUUAAAGUAUUAAAAAAGAAAUAUUGUAUUAUUAAAUCAUUCAGAUAAUUGUAAAUUUCAAAAACUGAGAACGCAUUUGUAUCAAAUACAGGACAAGAAUCCAAGACGGCACAUAUCUUGGCAAACAUCUCCCGUAGAUGUACACGGGCAAAUGAUACUUGUGCUAUCUUUAGUGAUUUAGAAGCUUGAGACCAAACUGUACCUUAUUACCACAUAACUUACCUAAAUCUGGCUGAUCUGUGAACGCGAUAGUCGUCACGGGAUCGAACAGGGACCAAACCAGAAUCUGCAAGGAAAAACAAGCUCAGUUGAGAUCAUGCCAGUCCUGAAAGUACGGAAAAAGCAAAUAGAACUUACGGUAUUGUCGCCACGGCUCAACAAUGGAGCCGGAAUGUAAAGAGUUUUCGUGGGACCAAUGCCCGAAUAACGACCGACAUUAAAACCAUUGACAAAGACGACACCUCGGUUACCAUCACCCCAUCCGGUAGUCGUAAUGUACGUGUCAGUUGGAUCAUCAGCAAUCGUCAAAGUUGACUUGGUAAGUGUAGGACAAAUGACAGUCGUUGGUGGAGCUGGAGAGGCAUUCCAAUUUGUCAAUCUAUUAAAAUAAUCCUUUACUAAGCACGAUAUGUAAGAAAUUUAAAAACCAACUGCUAUUCGACUUACCCGCGUACCCAAGCUGAUGUAAAUUCUAAAGGAAAGAUUGUCCAUCCAACCACUUCUUCGUCGUCUAGCAAAACAGGUCCCUCUGGCAAACCUCGUUUCUGAGCGAAGUAGCUUGGUGGGCCAAAAUUAUUCCUGUAGAUGGAAUCAUAAAGGAGAUUACAAUGACUCUUCGAGAAAUUAUUCGAUAUUUUUAUUUAUUUAUUUUUUUUUACCUUGCCAUGUUUUCCACCAGCAAAUCUACUACAUAGUUGGUGUCUCCUUUAUCAGCGUUGAAGUCGAAUGUUCGAUUCCUAAAUCGAAAUAUCAGUUUGGAAUUAAUCUGUCAUAUCGCCUUUAUUAAAUUAAGUUACUCUAGUGCCCAAAAGCCGAAAUCAUUCAGCUGAAGGUCGUUUUUCCAAUCAGGUGUCAAACGUUGCUGGUCCAGCAGGAAAACAGCCAAAUCGCGGACGUGACCAACAGUUUGGAUGGUAUGUGCACCACCUGUCAAGCUGGCAGUGUUUCGAUAUAAAAUAUAUCCGUAACUCUGGCCAUUGCCGUUGUUAAUUGGAAGAUCUUCCAUGGCCAGCAAAUUGUCCGAUUGGAUCACCAAGUUACUCGGCUACACACCGUUGGUAAGAUUUUACUUCCCAUUUAAGUUCAGUUUGAUUAAAGUAUUACCAACUGAAGGAGAAGAUCAUCUAGCGUUAGAUGUUCUGUUGCUUGAAUGGCGGGAUAAACAGUUUUAACGCUUUCGGCUGGCAUAGCGGGCAUAUAGAUGUUGGGAAUUCUAUUGAAUCGAGCAAUGAGAUCUUUGGCAGCGUAGUAUUUGUCAGUGUAAUCGCCUGCUUCGGACAGAGGUGCAUCGUAAUCUGUAAAAUGUUCAAUUCAUUGCGCCGUUCAAAAAGAAUUUAAGAAAAAUACGAGAGCUCUGUAAUACGCACCAUAGCUGCUAACAUCGGGGGCGUAGAAAGGAAAGACAGGGAGCGUAUUGGCUCCGUUCAUGAACCCGAAACUUGUUCCGCCGAUAAACAUGUAAAAAUUGACUGAACUGUUUCGAGUGAAAAUCCGUUCCAGCGUGUAGGAAAACUCUGGUUUCAACAACAAGUUAUAAUUGUAAACUUAUUAAUUUUUUAAAACUAUAAUUGGUUUACCUUCUACAGAUGAGCCUCCGUGGUAACCUUUCCCCCAGUGGUCAAACUAAAUGAAUGGAGCGAUUAGUGAAGAAUAUUCAUUAUGCACAAGCACAACUGAAGGUAAAAUCAACUAACCCAUCCACUCCAGAAUUCGGCAACCAUGUACGGUUUGUCCGGUUGCAACAAGUCGAGCGCGUCAAAUUCGGGAUCAGCAUCUUUUUGGAAAUUGGCUGUCUGUAACUCUCCGGGAACUGCCCCUAAAUCGGCAUUCUUCGUAGGUGUGUCGGACGUGAAAAACAUCUCUCUCGCUCCCAGUUCAAUCAUCUUAUCUCGCAGGUGAAUCAAAUAUUGCGUGUCACGCGGUUCGUCCCCUACUCCAAAGGCUCCGUAUUCGUUCUCCACCUGAUAAGAAAAAUGUGAAGGGCUUUGAGUACCCAAUUAAUCGAUAUAAACUUGCUAGUCGCUUACUUGAAUAGCAAUAAUGGGUCCAUCUCCUCGUUGAAAUUGCAAGUCGACUACGCGUCGGAACACUUCUGUCAAGUAGGCAUCUGCCACCUCCAAGAAUCCGGGGUAGGAACUGCGAACUUUCAUUUCGGGAUCACGCAACAACCAGCUGUAGAGAGCCCAAGUGUUAUAGGAAACUAAUAAGAUUUGUGUUACCAGGAAUUUGUUGAAAAUUACCUUGGCAAUCCGCCGAAGUCCCAUUCAGAGCAGAUGAAAGGACCUGGUCGCAAAAUGACGAAUAGGUCCUCCUCUUGAGCCAUUUCGACAAAAGCGGUCACAUUAAGAAAAUAGGACAUGUCAUUUUGGCCUUCGCUGAAAUCAUAUUCUCCACGACGUGGCUCGUGAAGGUUCCACGGCAUGUACCUAUAAUUGCCUUGACAUUUACAGGAAUUUUCAUUUGUCUUAAAAAAUUAACAUACGUUUCAACGGUGUUGGCCCCGGUGGCUCGUAGUUUCUUCAGUCGGUCACGCCAUUGAGUUGGAUGAAUCCGAAAAUAAUGAACAGCUCCACUGAUGAUGUGAAAUGGUUUACCAUUCAGCAGAAAUCCAUCUUUACUGGCAGCAACGAGUCCUGAUGUUCGUCCGCCUGCUGUGUAAUAAUCAUUCCAGGUGAUAUCGUUUUGCGCCCAAGCGAGGAGCGGCAGAAGACAAAUC